rnacentral:rRNA from 1 species
GCUCUUUUACCAGGGAUGAUAAUGACAGUACCUGGAGAAUAAGCUCCGGCUAACUCCGUGCCAGCAGCCGCGGUAAUACUGAGGGAGCUAGCGUUGUUCGGAAUUACUGGGCGUAAAGCGCGCGUAGGCGGUUACUCAAGUCAGAGGUGAAAGCCCGGGGCUCAACCCCGGAACUGCCUUUGAAACUAGGUGACUAGAAUCUUGGAGAGGUCAGUGGAAUUCCGAGUGUAGAGGUGAAAUUC